rnacentral:tRNA from 1 species
CCGGUAGUCUAGCCUGGAAGGAUGCCCAGGGACGAACGUCCCGCAUAGGCUUGGCGAACCGUCUGCUCAAGGUAACAGAUCGCGGGAGAUCCCGGGUUCAAAUCCCGGCCGG